CAUUACUGAGUUAGGGUCUUUUCUGGCCCGACCUCCAACCCUUUGUUUACUAUACCCCAUGUUGCUUUGGCGGGCCUGCCUUUUGGGGCUGCCGGGGGCAUUAUUGCCCUUGACCCGUGCCUGCCAGGAGCCUUUUUAAAUUCUGUGUUGAACUGUGUUGUCUGAGUCCCAAUAUCAAAAUAUCAAAAACUUUCAACAACGGAUCUCUUGGUUCUGGCAUCGAUGAAGAACGCAGCGAAAUGCGAUAAGUAAUGCGAAUUGCAGAAUUCAGUGAGUCAUCGAAUCUUUGAACGCAUAUUGCGCCCUUUGGUAUUCCGAAGGGUAUGCCUGUUCGAGCGUCAUUAUCACAAUAUCAAGCUUGGCUUGUUGUUGGGCCCUUUGUCACCUGGUGACAGGUCCAAAAGACAAUAACCGGCGUCAUACAGACUCUAUAUGCAACGAGCUUAUAACAGCACGCAUCUGGUGGUCGUGUGGCCCGGUUUUCACUUUAAAUUUUUCAAGGUUGACCUCGGAUCAGGUAGGAAUACCC
rnacentral:rRNA from 1 species